rnacentral:rRNA from 1 species
GAUGAACGCUGGCGGCGUGCCUAAUACAUGCAAGUAGAACGCUGAAGGAGGAGCUUGCUCUUCUGGAUGAGUUGCGAACGGGUGGGUAACGCGUAGGUAACCUGCCUGGUAGCGGGGGAUAACUAUUGGAAACGAUAGCUAAUACCGCAUGACAACAGUUAUUGCAUGAUAACUGUUUAAAAGGGGCAACUGCUCCACUACCAGAUGGACCUGCGUUGUAUUAGCUAGUUGGUGAGGUAACGGCUCACCAAGGCGACGAUACAUAGCCGACCUGAGAGGGUGAUCGGCCACACUGGGACUGAGACACGGCCCAGACUCCUACGGGAGGCAGCAGUAGGGAAUCUUCGGCAAUGGACGGAAGUCUGACCGAGCAACGCCGCGUGAGUGAAGAAGGUUUUCGGAUCGUAAAGCUCUGUUGUAAGAGAAGAACGAGUGUGAGAGUGGAAAGUUCACACUGUGACGGUAUCUUACCAGAAAGGGACGGCUAACUACGUG